UCGUAGAGUUUGAUCCUGGCUCAGAUUGAACGCUAGCGGGAUGCUUUACACAUGCAAGUCGAACGGCAGCGCGAGAGAGCUUGCUCUCUUGGCGGCGAGUGGCGGACGGGUGAGUAAUAUAUCGGAACGUGCCCAGUAGCGGGGGAUAACUACUCGAAAGAGUGGCUAAUACCGCAUACGCCCUACGGGGGAAAGGGGGGGAUCGCAAGACCUCUCACUAUUGGAGCGGCCGAUAUCGGAUUAGCUAGUUGGUGGGGUAAAGGCUCACCAAGGCAACGAUCCGUAGCUGGUUUGAGAGGACGACCAGCCACACUGGGACUGAGACACGGCCCAGACUCCUACGGGAGGCAGCA
rnacentral:rRNA from 1 species